rnacentral:rRNA from 1 species
UACGAAGGGUGCUAGCGUUGUUCGGAAUUACUGGGCGUAAAGCGCGCGCAGGCGGUCCUUCAAGUCAGAGGUGAAAGCCCAGAGCUCAACUCUGGAAUGGCCUUUGAGACUAGAGGACUUGGGUACGGGAGAGGUGAGUGGAAUUCCGAGUGUAGAGGUGAAAUUCGUAGAUAUUCGGAAGAACACCAGUGGCGAAGGCGGCUCACUGGCCCGUUACCGACGCUCAGGCGCGACAGCGUGGGGAGCAAACAGG